UACGUAGGGGGCAAGCGUUAUCCGGAUUUACUGGGUGUAAAGGGAGCGUAGACGGCUAAUCAAGUCAGAAGUGAAAGCCCGCAGCUCAACUGCGGGACUGCUUUUGAAACUGCCAGGCUAGAGUGUCGGAGAGGUAAGUGGAAUUCCUAGUGUAGCGGUGAAAUGCGUAGAUAUUAGGAGGAACACCAGUGGCGAAGGCAGCUUACCAGACUGAGUCUGACGCUGAUGCACGAGAGCAUGGGUAGCGAACAGG
rnacentral:rRNA from 1 species